rnacentral:tRNA from 1 species
GGGGCUGUAGCUCAGCUGGGAGAGCAUUUGACUGGCAGUCAAAAGGUCGCCGGUUCGAUCCCGGUCAGCUCCACCA